ACUGUUUACCAAAAACAUAGGUUUCUGCUAAGUCGCAAGACGAUGUAUAGGAGCUGACGCCUGCCCGGUGCUGGAAGGUUAAGGGGAUCUGUUAGAGUAAUCGAAGCAGUGAACUUAAGCCCCAGUACACGGCGGCCGUAACUAUAACGGUCCUAAGGUAGCGAAAUUCCUUGUCGGGUAAGUUCCGACCCGCACGAAAGGCGUAACGAUUUGGGCACUGUCUCA
rnacentral:rRNA from 1 species